CGUGACAUGAUGCGGUACGGUAC
rnacentral:siRNA from 1 species